ensembl:snoRNA
UGGCAUGCCGCACGGCGUUCUGCUUCUCUUUAAAGAGCAUGGAUUUAUCUGUGCCAUGUGACGCGAAUGAAAUGAGAAGUUUCCGGGGCCGCCAGCCUCUUGGUGAAGGUUUCCUGGUAGUAUAUUUCCUCUACAAUA